rnacentral:rRNA from 1 species
UACGUAGGGUGCGAGCGUUGUCCGGAAUUAUUGGGCGUAAAGGGCGCGUAGGCGGCUUGGCAAGUGGAAGGUGAAAUCCCUCGGCUUAACCGAGGAACUGCCCUCCAAACUGCUUUGCUUGAGGCCGGGAGAGGUGAGUGGAAUUCCCAGUGUAGCGGUGAAAUGCGUAGAUAUUGGGAGGAACACCAGUGGCGAAGGCGGCUCACUGGACCGGUUCUGACGCUGAUGCGCGAAAGCGUGGGGAGCAAACGGG